UGGCCGCAUUUCUGUAACAGAGGAGUCAGAAGGAGUUGCACCCUGCUCAUAUGAACAUUGUCAAAAUUAUUAUCAGUUUAUCAGUUUAUCAGUAAAGAGCUACCCUUCAUUCGUAAGGAUCAGAUGCGAGUUUCUGAAAUUAUUGGCUGCCGCUCGUGUUCGCAUUGUGUCUGCGACUCUGGCGGUACAAGGCAGCAGCCCGGUGAACACCAUUAUUGAACUUCUGAAAAGCAAGCAGCAGAUAUCAUUUACAACCAGGACCUGAGGCAGCGAGGCUUCUGACGGAGAAAAUCGCAGGAGGCUGCUUCUCCUUUACUCUGCCUGUCCGGAGCACAGGAGGAGAGCAACCAGAGGUGGCAGCCCGCUGCUCUGGGGUUCUUCUGCAGAGAUUGUUCUUGGAUGCGCCGUUUUGCAACCGGCUGCUGCAGUGCUGCUACUAUACCUCCUGGUGCGUUUAUAUAUGUUGUGUAGGUCUAUUUGCAUUGGGUCAAAAUUAUUUGUCUGUAAUUGUGGGUUGAUUGAUACUAAAUCAUGUGGUAACUGUUCCUGCAAGAAAAUUCAUCUUGAGCAUGACA